GCCUGAGUAGCUCAGUCGGUAGAGCAAGCGAUUGAAAAUCGCUGUGUCGCUGGUUCGAUUCCGGCCUCAGGCACCA
rnacentral:tRNA from 1 species